rnacentral:rRNA from 1 species
GACAGAGGGUGCAAACGUUGUUCGGAAUUACUGGGCGUAAAGCGCGUGUAGGCGGCUAUGUAAGUCGGGCGUGAAAUCCCACGGCUCAACCGUGGAAGUGCACCCGAAACUGCGUAGCUAGAGUCCUGGAGAGGAAGGUGGAAUGCUUGGUGUAGAGGUGAAAUUCGUAGAUAUCAAGCGGAACACCGGUGGCGAAGGCGGCCUUCUGGACAGUGACUGACGCUCAUGCACGAAAGCGUGGGGAGCAAACAGG